rnacentral:lncRNA from 1 species
GAGUCCCAAGUGAGAGAACUAUACACCAUCAACACCAGUACCAACACAUACAUACACUCAUACCUCCCCUGCCCUCCCCCACCUCCCCCCGCCCCCACCACACACACACACAGACCCACACAGGCAUGGUUGGCUGGAAUACUGGGGCAAAUCCGUGAAUGUUUCACAAUUCCAUCUUCAGAUUCCCGGGGAGUCCAGAAUUAACCAGCUUAAUAAGCCCUUCCUCACUCCGCUUAACCCCACCUGUGAGUCUCAAUUCCCCUUCACAGCUGACAAUGGAAACCCACAGACAGGACUGGCCAGGCCUAGCGGAAGGGGCGGGGCCAUCCCUCUGGGCUCAGGGUUCCACUUGGUGGAGGCUGGACUGGACCGUCUCUUCUCAGCGUGUGCUCACAGCGGGACCUGCUGUCUCUUUCUGAGGGGACACAACCCCCAUCAUAUGUCCCCCGGGCCGCGAUGGUGGGGUCAGGACUGAGCAUGACCUGAAACUUGGGCACAGAGUAGAUCUCAGUAGGUAUCUGUUGAGUGAUUCGGAGCCCACCUGUCCCACAUACACCACGAGGAGGCCUCCAGGGUGUCAACAAAGGAGGCGGCUGGGCUGGGGAAGAAAUGCAAGAAUUCCUGCCUGGACAGGUUUCAUCUGCACAGAAAGAGGAGAUUCACUCCCGAAAGCUAUUUGUCAGGGUCUACUCUAGCCACAAUGAUGCCUGACAGCCUGGAGGUGUGACCAGAUUUGCGGGGGGAGACGGACAUGGUUUUGUUAGGGGCAGGGCCAAAGCGGGGCAGGGCCAAACAAGGCAGGGGGCAGGGUCAUGCAGGGGCGUAGCCAGGAUGGGGGUGUGGCCAGAAUGAAGGCGGGGCCACCGUGGAGAGGGGCCAUGGUGGGGGUGGGGCCAUGGUGGGGGCUGAGCCUUGCUGCAGGUUGUAGAAGGGCUGAGCCCAUAUAAAGGAUCUGCUCACCCUUGACCUUCCCCAGGUGUCUCAUGUUCCCAU